UGGAGACAUAGCUCAGUUGGUAAAGUGCUUGCCUCAUAUGCACAAGGCCUUGGGUUCGAUCCCCAGCAA
rnacentral:tRNA from 1 species